GAUCCUGGCUUAGGAUGAACGCUGGCGGCGUGCCUAACACAUGCAAGUCGAACGAAGCAUAUUGGACGGAGAUUCGUCGAAGCCUGAUAUGACUUAGGUGGCGGACGGGUGGAGUAAUGUAUGAGCAACCUGCCUUUCAGAGGGGGACAACAGUUGGAAACGACUGCUAAUACCGCAUAAUGUAUUUAGGGGACAUCCUCCGGAUACCAAAAGGAGCAAUCCGCUGAAAGAUGGGGCUCAUAUCUGAUUAGCUUGUUGGCGGGGUAACGGCCCCACCAAGGCGACGAUCAGUAGCCGGACUGAGAGGUUGAACGGCCACAUUGGGACUGAGAUACGGCCCAGACUCCUACGGGAGGCAGCAGUGGGGAAUAUUGGGCAAUGGGCGAAAAACGCCUGACCCAGCAACGCCGCGUGAAGGAAGAAGGUCUUCGGAUUGUAAACUUCUUUUAUGAGGGACGAAGGACGUGACGGUACCUCAUGAAUAAGCCACGGCUAACUACGUGCCAGCCGCCGC
rnacentral:rRNA from 1 species